rnacentral:lncRNA from 1 species
UCAUUAACUUUCAUGGUGAAAGCAGCAAAGAAUACGUGCUAAUCAAGAUGCUUGACUUGCCAAAAUCUGUUUCUUAUCUUCAUCUUCUUGCCUAUUGCUAAUCAGAGACUUUGCAAAGUUCUAACCAAGCUGAAGCGCAGCUCAAUUUUCAAGGAUAACUUUCUCCAAUUUUCGGUACUGUCUUUCUGCAUCGAAUUUACUUUUGUUUUUUUUAAAAAUUAUUUAUAGCUUAUUACCUUUUUCUUAAUUUCAAUAGUCAUCUAUGUACCAUGUACAGUUUUGUCUUAAAGCAAUGAAAUAAAAUUUUGAUACUUCAGAAUAGUUAGCAUCCCACAUAAUUUUUAAAAUAAUCGUAUCCUUAUGUCACUUGUAGGGUAAUACAUGUGUUUAUUACUAAUGAUUAAUACUACAUUUAUUUUUAACUCUAACAUUUACUUGAGCUUUUUGGUUAAGCGGUUUAUCUAACGAGUUGAAAAUUAAAUCAAUUAAAGAAUUUGAGAGAUA